GUCUGCACCCGGGACAGGUGGAAACUUCUCCCGUUUGCAAAGCGCAGCAGAAACAGUGAAAUCGCUGGUCAGUGGGUGCAGCCCAUUAAUAAAGCCCGGAAACAGUAGAAAAGACUUAUACCUGAAAGAACACCUUUCAAGGCCUUUGUUUUCCUCAACCGCUGUGUUUUCAUUCUAUUCAGACCAAAGGAGUCGCUCAAGUUUGCAGGAAUCCUAGAAUUUGCGUGCGGUGCCCACGCUACUUGGUGCUUUGAAGGGAAGGAGGUUCACCCGACAGGCUCUUCACAGUUAACAACAGCUCAGUGCUGAGCACCAUCGUCAUGGGGAUAUUUCUCAGCUCCUUGCUGUCUCCUCAGCUCAGCCUGCUAAGUUUGCCAGGAAAAGGUGAAGACAAUGAAAUUUCCUCCAUGACUAAGCUUUUACCUUGCUUCCAUAUGUGAAGAUACCAAGGUUUUGCGAGUGAUUGGAACUAGAGAUACAAAGAGCUGAAAGUAACUUGUUCUCUGAAGAGUGGAGGUGCCAGUCUUCCUGAAGAAGACAGGAUGAUCAGGAAUAUACAUGUUUUUUCAACCUCUGAUCUCACUUUCAUUGUGGUCUCCUGUUGGCCCUUCUGGACCCUGCCUUUCCCUCCCAGCUGUGUGGUCCUGCCCCCGAGUUGCACCGCAGCCUCCGUCCUUUCCCCUCGGUGCCCCACGAUGGUUGUUCUCACGCUGUUAUUCCCACGGCCUCACCCCAGCCAACCUGCUGCUGUGGUGGUGGCGGGUUGUCCUGGGGGAGCAACCAGAACUGGCCAAGACUGACCCACCCCUCCACACCCCUGUCUCCCACCCCUUGGUCGUAGCGGCCGGCUGACCCAAGAAGACCUAUGACCGACUGCACAACGCUUACCAACCAGUCAGCACACAUCACUCAACGCACACCCAAACCAGGGAUGACAACACCCUACGCAGAAACAACCGACAGGACCCGGGGCAGGUCCCGCGUCCACCUGGGGCAUUGCUGCGGGGAAAGCGGGAUGGUGGGUAGUACCAGCCGUCCGGGGGGGAUGUGCAUCAGAGGGUCUGCCAUCCUUUCUUCCCUCAGCUGGCCACUAGGAACUGUUUUUCUCCCUCUCCUCCACUUUCCCCUUCCCAAAAAGCAACACUCAACGUGAGAGAACAUACGGUAUCAGCUGCGAGGAGUUGCCCCUGCUAAUAACACUUGGUGCAUAUGAACCUGCCUCAGCAUCCUCUGUGCUACAAACUGAAUCUUUGUCAGUUUAAGGGCAUUUUAGGUCAACAUUCUUACACUCUGGCUUUGUCUUUGGUAAAUACAUUUAAUGGUAUAUUGAUGCCCUAAUUAUUGAGAGGGGAAAGUAUUGCUUUUAAACCUCUCAUCAUAUCUAUUUUUUUGUCCUGCACCUUUACAGAAAUGCAUCCCUACUCUCAGAAUCGGGUCUAACUGAUUUCGGUACAGGACUGAUUUUGGUAUGGGAGGAAAUACUGUCUUCACUUAGCACUAGGAACAUGGAAUUCCCUGUCUUCAGUUACGGAAGAAAGAGAUGUAAAAACUGUUAUUUCAUGGGAUGCCUGCCUGUCUGGGACUAUAAUACCAAGUCUAUCCUAUUUUCCUGGGCAUUGCCUCGAAAGAAGAUAAAUCCCAAAGAGGUAUAAACCUGCAGGAUGUACAUAAAAAGUUAUCAGUACUUCAACUGUAGAGAUUAAGCAGAAAGACCAUAAAUCUUGGGCUAGAGGAGCUGGUGACGGUCUAAAAGGACAUAUUAGCCAACUACUUUGCAGAUCUCAAGACUAACACAAGGACACAGUACGUUACAAAAGGGAACUCAAAUGCUCCUCUCCUUCCUGCCCGCUUCUCCAGUUGGGAGCCAGGGAUGUUUUUCAGCCAGAAAGUCUCUGCCUGCAGGGGAAUGUAAGAUUAUGAAUCUGUUUUGUCAUGAAAAGCCUAUGGGAAAACACGUCUUUGCUAGAAGUUAUGGGUUAUCGUAGCUGUUCAUUUAAAUUUGUUUCAUCCUGAUCACGUCAUGAACAAGAGAAUGUCGCAGCAGAAGCAUAUACAUGGCAGAUUGUCCAGAUGCGUAGCAGGCUUGCUGAACGUAAAGGAGGUUUGCUGUCAGAGUCCUUGACUGUAUCAGCAGACUGGGAGGUGACCGCCGCUUAGCCCGUGGGAAGCAUGAGUGGUGCUGCUGAAGCUCACUGUGAUAAUGCCUGUGCUGUCUAGGUACAGACCAAGGACACGUCUGUCUGUGAUCUCUACCGAGAUCCACGUAACUGUUCCUCAGUGCAUAUUCUGCCUUGCACAGUUCUGUUAGCACGAAGCUGAACUUGGCACGAUUACUACAGAGGCUUCUCUGGCCAGAACUCCUGGCAAGAAUUUUAAGGAUAGGGCUUGCUUGCAGUUAGCUGAUAGAAGGAUAUCAUCAAUGAUUACCUGCGGCCGAGAGCACAGUAAUCCAUUGUUAAGCUGUAAUGGGAAAACAAGAUGGUAUUUGUGAAGAGAAACUAAGUAUUAUAUUGUAAUUGCUCUUUAUUCUCAAAUGUUUACAACAUUAAAGCAAGGUAACAAAUGCUGUGGUUAGUGGCAUUGCCCUUGACUGUUUUUUUCAAUUAGCAUUAAGCUAUGUCUUUUAACAAAAGUAUAGGCAAUACAGUUAAAAUAUUGUUUAAAACUAUUAUAGAUUUCAUUUUGUGCACCACUGUGGUGAAAGUCUGGUUCUGUCUCUCCUAAUAGGCAGUUGGUUGGUAAGGACUCAUGGUGUGAAAAUAACUGCUGAUGGAUGCAUCCUUUUUAAAAAGUACUUGGCAAACCAGAUACCCCAGAGAGUUAGAUAACAAGUACAUACUGGGGCCUCUCUGUGUUGUUGUCUGGGCUGUACUGGAAGCAUGUGCCCACACUGGAGCUCUGAGUUCAGAUACCAUUGAAUGUGGGCAGAUUAUGGUGAGAUAGCUAAAUAGUCUCCUCCCCUAUCUGUCUGUUCUACUUCUUUCCUGAAAGCUUGUAUUUCCGUGAUAAGGGGGAGGUAACGAUCCUAAAAGUGCCUUUAAAAUUGCAUGGGCUGAAGGUGGAGAAGGUGGCUGAGGUGUCUACAUUCCAUUGUGAAACGUGUGACAAAAGGGAGGAAGCAACUAAAAACCCAACCAGGUCUGAAGUUCUGCACAGCCUUCAUUUCCCCUGGUACAGGCCAGAUAGAUCCCAUUUCAUUUAUUAUUAAAACUUCUGCUGAACUUCUGGAAACUGAUAUCAGGGAAGAACAUAUUUUGCGUGGAAAAGUGCUGUAGAAUACCAGUGAGGAGAAUGUGACUGCGAAUGACGGUGGGAGUGUUUUUAUUUCAUCUAAGUUUGAAACAGGAGAACAGGACAGACUGCUGAAAGCAACUCUAGCAGUGCAAUAUCCAGUAUCGGGCGAACAAAAUCCUUUUGUUUCCUGACCUCGGCCUCAUCAAACAAACCAAGAGAAAAGUGUUAUUGAGCCAGAGGAAUCUGUUUACUGGAAAGAAUACUGAGGCUCUACGGUGGCAUCUUACAGCCCGAGAGAUGUUGGAAGAGAACAGACCUGUUCUGGAAAGGAGAAGCGGCAACGAUGCACAGAUGACAGCAAAGUCAAUGGAAAAUGAACUUGCAUGAACUACAAAGUAAACCCUGUCAAUAAUUUUGAUUUCUUUAUUUAGCUGACAGCUGUACCUAAAAUUGAUCUCAGUUAUACUUGACGAAAGAUGUUUUAAGGACUGUUUAACUGACAUGUGCAUUUAAUUCUGUGUGAAACGUCCAGUGAAAUAUGCUCAUGUCUUCAAAAAUGCAUGAUGUGGUUGAGUGAAUAAUGGUGAAAAAUAUCUAUCCAAAAUUAUUGUUGGUUUUCUAUAUCGUAGAGUUAAUGAAGCUAUUUCUUAGUGCUGUAUUGCAAUGAACUCUGGAAGCUCCUAAUCAUCUUGAUGUAAUUUCAGAGACUUUCUUUAGUAUUUGUGCUUUGCUUUCACUACCAAACAGGCUUCAGUAUAUAAACAUUCUUACACUAUAUCUUGAUGUCCAUUCUUUGGUAUAUGUAAUUAAUCAUCUAAGCUAUGUACUUUGCCUCUUGACUGGAUGAUACGCUUUCAAAAUAUGAAAAAUAUAGUGUAUAUAAAUAAUGUAUUUUCA